AACGAACGCUGGCGGCAGGCUUAACACAUGCAAGUCGAACGCCCCGCAAGGGGAGUGGCAGACGGGUGAGUAACGCGUGGGAAUCUACCCAGUUCUACGGAACAACACAGGGAAACUUGUGCUAAUACCGUAUACGCCCUACGGGGGAAAGAUUUAUCGGAAUUGGAUGAGCCCGCGUUGGAUUAGCUAGUUGGUGGGGUAAUGGCCUACCAAGGCGACGAUCCAUAGCUGGUCUGAGAGGAUGAUCAGCCACACUGGGACUGAGACACGGCCCAGACUCCUACGGGAGGCAGCAGUGGGGAAUAUUGGACAAUGGGCGCAAGCCUGAUCCAGCCAUGCCGCGUGAGUGAUGAAGGCCUUAGGGUUGUAAAGCUCUUUCAGUGGGGACGAUAAUGACGGUACCCACAGAAGAAGCCCCGGCUAACUUCGUGCCAGCAGCCGCGGUAAGAC
rnacentral:rRNA from 1 species